rnacentral:rRNA from 1 species
UACGUAGGGUGCGAGCGUUGCUCGGAAUCACUGGGCGUAAAGCGCACGUAGGCGGAUCUUUAAGUCAGGGGUGAAAUCCUGGAGCUCAACUCCAGAACUGCCUUUGAUACUGAGGAUCUCGAGUCCGGGAGAGGUGAGUGGAACUGCGAGUGUAGAGGUGAAAUUCGUAGAUAUUCGCAAGAACACCAGUGGCGAAGGCGGCUCACUGGCCCGGUACUGACGCUGAGGUGCGAAAGCGUGGGGAGCGAACAGG